CGGACGGGUGAGUAAUGUCUGGGAAACUGCCUGAUGGAGGGGGAGUAACUACUGGAAACGGUAGCUAAUACCGCAUAACGUCGCAAGACCAAAGAGGGGGACCUUCGGGCCUCUUGCCAUCGGAUGUGCCCAGAUGGGAUUAGCUAGUAGGUGGGGUAACGGCUCACCUAGGCGACAUCCCUAGCUGGUCUGAGAGGAUGACCAGCCACACUGGAACUGAGACACGGUCCAGACUCCUACGGGAGGCAGCAUG
rnacentral:rRNA from 1 species